UUGCAUAUUCAAAAGCGGAGGAAAAGAAACUAACAAGGAUUCCCCUAGUAACGGCGAGUGAACCGGGAAGAGCUCAAAUUUGAAAUCUGGCGUGCUCAGUGCGUCCGAGUUGUAAUCUAUAGAGUCGUUUUCCGUGCCGGACUGUGUCCAAGUCCCUUGGAACAGGGUAUCAAAGAGGGUGAUAAUCCCGUACUUGACACAAUGACCGGUGCUCUGUGAUACGUCUUCUACGAGUCGAGUUGUUUGGGAAUGCAGCUCAAAAUGGGUGGUGAGUUCCAUCUAAAGCUAAAUAUUGGCGAGAGACCGAUAGCGAACAAGUACCGUGAGGGAAAGAUGAAAAGCACUUUGGAAAGAGAGUUAAACAGUACGUGAAAUUGUUAAAAGGGAAACGAUUGAAGUCAGUCGUGACUGAGAGGCUCAGCCGGUUCUGCCGGUGUAUUCCCCUCAGUCGGGUCAACAUCAGUUUUGUUCGGUGGAUAAGGGCAGUUGGAAGGUGGCACCCUCGGGUGUGUUAUAGCCAGCUGUCGCAUACAUCGGAUGAGACUGAGGAAUGCAGCUCGCCUUUAUGGCCGGGGUUCGCCCACGUCGAGCUAGGAUGUGACAUAAUGUCC
rnacentral:rRNA from 1 species